UACAGAGGCCUCGAGCGUUAGGCGGAGUCACUGGGCUUAAAGCGUGUGUAGGCGGACUUCUAAGCACCUUGUGAAGUCCCACGGCUUACCCGUGGAACUGCUCGGUAUACUGGUUGUCUUGAGCCACCUAGGGGCGAGUGGAACAAAUGGUGGAGCGGUGAAAUGCGUAGAUAUCAUUUGGAACGCCAAUGGUGAAAACAACUCGCUGGGGGUGUGCUGACGCUGAGACACGAAAGCCAGGGGAGCGAACGGG
rnacentral:rRNA from 1 species